UGAUGAGACUCUAUGCUGGGCUCUUUAUACUGUAGUCUAUGGGACAGGGAGGCUGAAUGAUGAGACUAUGCUGGGCUCUUUAUACUGUAGUCUAUGGGACAGGGAGGCUGAAUGAUGAGACUAUGCUGGGCUCUUUAUACUGUAUCUAUGGGACAGGGAGGCUGAAUGAUGAGACUAUGCUGGGCUCUUUAUACUGUAGUCUAUGGGACAGGGAGGCUGAAUGAUGAGACUAUGCUGGGCUCUUUAUACUGUAUCUAUGGGACAGGGAGGCUGAAUGAUGAGACUAUGCUGGGCUCUUUAUACUGUAGUCUAUGGGACAGGGAGGCUGAAUGAUGAGACUAUGCUGGGCUCUUUAUACUGUAGUCUAUGGGACAGGGAGGCUGAAUGAUGAGACUAUGCUGGGCUCUUUAUACUGUAGCUCUUUAUACUGUAGUCAG